rnacentral:rRNA from 1 species
AACGAACGCUGGCGGCGUGGAUAAGACAUGCAAGUCGAACGGGACAGACCGAGUAGCAAUAUUUGGAAUGUUCAGUGGCGAACGGGUGCGUAACACGUGGAUAACAUUCCGGCAAGCGGGGAAUAGCCCAGGGAACCUUGGAUUAAUACAGCAUGUGGCCGCAAGGCUAAAGACGGGGACCGCAAGGCCUGUCACUUUCCGAUUGGUCCGCGGCCUAUCAGCUAGUUGGCGGGGUAAUCGCCCACCAAGGCUACGACGGGUAGCUGGUCUUAGAGGACCACCAGCCACACUGGAACUGAGACACGGUCCAGACACCUACGGGUGGCAGCAGUCGAGAAUCUUUCACAAUGGGGGCAACCCUGAUGGAGCGACGCCGCGUGGAGGAUAAGGUCUUCGGAUUGUAAACUCCUGUCAUGCGAGAACAAGGUACUCAGGCUAAUAACCUGAUUGUUUGAUGGUACCGCAAGAGGAAGAGACGGCUAACUCUGUGCCAGCCGCCGCCGUAACAC